rnacentral:rRNA from 1 species
GACGAACGCUGGCGGCGUGCUUAACACGUGCAAGUCGAGCGGAAAGGCCCUGCUUUUGUGGGGUGCUCGAGUGGCGAACGGGUGAGUAACACGUGAGUAACCUGCCCUUGACUUUGGGAUAACUUCAGGAAACUGGGGCUAAUACCGGAUAGGAGCUCCUGCUGCAUGGUGGGGGUUGGAAAGUUUCGGCGGUUGGGGAUGGACUCGCGGCUUAUCAGCUUGUUGGUGGGGUAGUGGCUUACCAAGGCUUUGACGGGUAGCCGGCCUGAGAGGGUGACCGGCCACAUUGGGACUGAGAUACGGCCCAGACUCCUACGGGAGGCAGCAGUGGGGAAUAUUGCACAAUGGGCGGAAGCCUGAUGCAGCAACGCCGCGUGCGGGAUGACGGCCUUCGGGUUGUAAACCGCUUUCGCCUGUGACGAAGCGUGAGUGACGGUAAUGGGUAAAGAAGCACCGGCUAACUACGUG